UUUUUCUUUUUUUUCUUUUUUUCUAUUAAAUAUUCUUCUAUAAUUAAAAGUUCCAUUUUGGGGGGUCUAUUUCACAUCUUUUAUUUUCUUCCUCAUUAUAUACACAUUUUUCUUUAAAUUCUCAUCUGUAAUUAUAAAGCUAUUUUAACAUUAUUUUGUAUUAACCAUUAUAUAUGUCCUUUCUGAAUCUUUUUUAGAGACUAAUAUUUCUCCUGAUUAGAAAUUGAAUUUUCCUGUUUCUUUACUUAUCUGGUUAUUCUUCAAUGAAAGUUAGACAUAUUCACAUACUUAAUUUUGUUGUCUUUUUUAAAAAUGAUUUUAUACUUUGAUCCUGUAGGAGCUUACUUGUGAAUCGGGUUAAUUUUUUCAGACUUGGUAUGACAGGUUUAGAAUAGCCUUUAAUCAGCUGCAAGUUUAGCACUACUAUUUAAGAUAUGACCCUUUCAUGUCUCUACUGAAUCUUGCAGGCAUUUAACAAGGAAUUUCUUCUCUCUUAUUAGAACAAGAAUGCCUGCCAGCCAUGUUCAGUUUACAACUCAAUGGUUGUUCUUUGCCAUUCUCAUGGAAUUUUAUACUAUGUAAGUUCUUAAUACAUGCAUGUACUGUUUGUUCAGUCAGACUCAAAGGGCUCGUAACUAGAGUUCUGGUGCAUCUUUGGACAGUUCCCUUCUUUCUGGCACUCUACCCUCAAAUUGCCAUUGCCGCAGUUUCUAUGACUUCUGACCUCUGUCUCCUCAACUUAUCUAGACUGCUCUGCUUUACAUAGGAUUCCAGUCCUUGUACCUUGCAUAUAGAAAAUGCCUCAGGCAGAAUGCCAAGGAAAUUGUAUGGCUCAAUUUUUUUUUUUUCCUGCUUCCUUUCUCUCAGGGAUCACAGUCCUUAUGUGUUGAUUAUUUCUGGAAACAUUUGUAGGUUUUUUGUUUGUUUUGUUUUUAUGAAAAAAUAUAUUUGGUCUAUUUUUCUAUUUAUUAAUAGUAGGAGAAUAAAUCUGGUCCCAGGAACUCCAUAAUUUCCAAAAGCAGAAGUUAAAAUAAAUGGACUUCUGAGUAAAAACAUGGAGGAAUUGAGGGAGCUGAUUAUGUAAAAAAUUGGAGAAAGACUUCUAGGAAUAGGAACAGUGACCAUUACAAUGGAUCUAAGGCAUCUGUGUGUCUGGUCAGUGUAAGAAACAAUGAGAAUGUCAAUGUGGAUAGUGUAGAAAAAAUGAGAGAAGAGAAUACCAAGAGUUGAGAUUAGAUACUGAAUUGGGGCCAAAUCAUGGAGAAAUGAACUUUGGAAGCUUGUUUCUUUGCUUGUAUUUUGUUUGGUUGGUUUGAUAAAGGAGUGACAUGAUCUGACUUUAUUGUAACAAAAUUAUUUUGCUACUGAAGGGGGAUAAGGGCUGAAGUAAGGACACAAGUCAGGAGGCUGCUGUAAUAAUCUAGCAAAUGCAUAAUAAAUGACCUGACUAGAGUACUUGAUUGUCUGUUUAUGAGUUGGCAUACUUUAACAUAUUGAGGAGGUUUUUGUGAUGUAUAUGCAAUACUAUCUCACGUCCUUGUUGUAAACAAAACCAGGAAAAAGCACAUUGCUACUGAUAGAAGGUAUUUACUUCCCUGCUUAAUUAUGUAGUAAAGUAAUACAGAACACUAAGCACAUCUAGACAGAGUAUUAAAUACAGAAUUCUCUCUCACUGGCUCAUUUUAUUCUUCCUUUUCCCACUAUCAAACUAUAUGGCUGCAGGAGAGUCAAGUUCUGUUGUCAAAAGUUUCCCUGCCUAAUUUCAAUUUGGAUUAAAUGUACAUAAUGAGUGCUCGAUACAAUUUAUGCUUCCAAUCCACUUACUCCUUUGAACUUUUAGAGUUAAACCAUGUCUAAAGGGCCACUACUGAGAUCUGGGCUAAAAGAGGGCCAAACUAGAGCAGGCAAGUCUACCACAGGCAGUGAGGACUGCGGUAAAAUGGGAAUGAGACAAGUGACAAUCUGUUAAGAAGUGAGGAUCAAAUGCCAAGGUGAACAAAUAUAAAAGCAAUGGCCAAAGGGCCAAUAUCAGAUGCUUAAUUUCAGUCAAAAGUUGUAGUUGAGGGGAAAAAUUAAUAAGAGAAAGAGGAAGUAUUAACUUAUAAACAAAUUUAAUCUGAGGUCAUAGAAAUAGUGAAGAAUAACUUUUGGGCACUGUUCCAGUGGACAUACGAAUACUUGUGGGGAAGGUGUUUAUUUCUGUGUGUUACUGUGUGGAUAUAAACUGCUCUGAAUUACAGUGACAGAGGAGAGCUCACAUUAGAGAUGAAAGAGAUACAAGUAGAGCCCUGGCUGUUAGUGCAUUAGUGAGCUAUUUAAAUAGAAUGCACCCCAAGGAGCAAAAUCACACAUCUUCACAAUGUAUAAUGUGGUUAGAUGUGUUUCCACGUAAGAGUUAUAUAUAUCUAACAGCACACAGAAAAAAUACACUGUAAAUGGGUAGUUUACUCAUGCAAAUAUCUAAAACAGAGUUUUUAUGGAACCAGGGUGGGGGUGGGGGGGUUGGAAUCUACCCCCUGCUGUUUUUCUGAUUUGUUCCUAAGCUCAUUAGAUGCUCAGCACCUCCUCCAGGGGAUGAAUCUCAUCUUCAGACAAUGUUAAACUAAUUCUCCUGAGCAGAGGUGAAAAAGCUAUUUCCCCACUGGAGUUUUCAAAGGCAAACAUUUCCUGUAGGAAAUCAAACAAUUCAAGGGCUUGAUAAGGUAGCUAAGUAUAUUCAGUUUAGCAAGUAGUUGCCAAUGGAAACCUCUAUAUACCUCUAUAUGUGGCCUCAGGCCCCUUGGGGGAUGACAAGGCCAUUAGUUUAAGAAAAAAGGAAAGAUCUUGACAAAUAUACAUGCAGCAAACUCUGGCAAGGCCAAAACAGGAAUGGAUAAACUCAGCAGAUGGGGACUGAACCCCAAACUUUCUUAAUUUCAUGAUUAGCAGUUAUAUAAAUAUGUAUAUUUUGCCUUCUGAAACUAACAUAUGAUAAUGUAGGCUCAUGAAUUCUGGGUUCCUGAUUUCAGCUCUUUUUCAUUGUGGUUUUUUUCUUUCCUUUAAAUUUUACUUUUCCAACAAAUAUUAUUUGAAUACUAAUGUCUGUCAGGUACUUUGAUGGUGGUUGGCUAUACCCAAUGGACAAGGAGGCACAGCUCCUGUUGAUUUCAUAACCUGGUGCAGAGAAUUGAAAAUAAAUCAGUCAACAAACACAUCAUGAACUGUUCUAAGAACUAAGAAGGAAAUGAGCAGAGAAACAAAAGAAAAAUAGGCAAGAUUCCUUGACAUAAAAAGGUCAAGAACUGCCUUUCUGAAGGUGUGACACCUAAACUGAGAUCCAUAGCUAAUAAGAAGCCAAUUUUGAAUAGAGUAGGGAGAUUGUCUCAUAUAGGGGAGUGAUGGCAAAGGGUCUCAGGCCAGAAGCUAACAAAAAGUCUGUGUGGCAGCAUCAAGUAAGAAAGCGAAGGCUGACCUAAGAGGAGGUUGGACAAAGUUCAAAGAGAUCACACUAGACCUCUUACACAGUCAUCAGUUAUUAGGAUAUUAUAUACACAGGACAAGAACAAAUAAAUAGGAAGUAGUAGUCAAGUAGGACACUUUGUUCAUUCAUAUGAUGCUCUGUUUUGGUAAAGAUCCUAUCUCUAUUAUUCUACUUUCUUCCUUAGCCCAACCAGUCUUUCCCUCCUCUCACUGGAAUUGUACCUUUUCAAUGAAUGAGAGAGAGAAAGAGAGACAGACAGAAAAAAAGCCUGACUUCCUAAAUAAAUCUUGACUAAGCCGAAAAUACCCAUUCCAGAAAUGAUGACUGGCAAUGUGUAUAGAGAAUUAACAAGAGUUGGUAAAGUUAUCAUAUAAAUCUGUAUGAUUUUCUGAAAAUUAAAAACUCUCUUUCUAAAAAGAGUCUCCUAAUGGAAUUUCUCUCCAUUCCCAGGUAUCAUUCUGAUGCCCCUUUCUUUCUUUCCUGAGCUCUCCAAAGAUUACUUGGAUUGCUGUAAAUAUUCUCCUUGCUCAAGGAUCCUUACACCUGACUGAUCAUCAGUCUCCCGAGUACCUUAAAAAUAUAUAUUACAUAUGCAUGUGCCUAUAAACACAGAGAUUAUUGCUGGUCCUACAUAGAAAUUAUAAUUCCUGGCAUGAGUCUCCAUAAUCAGUACUUUACCUCUGGCCUAGUUUUCCUGAGGCAGACUCAAGAGACAUUCAGUGUCCUAACUGGUCCCUCUGCCUCCAAUCUGUUCCAUUGUAGUCUACCCUCCACUCUGACAACAGACUAGCUCAUAAAGUCAAAUUUAAACAUAUUAUUCUUCAUUUCAAAAGUUUUAGUUUAUUCCACACAGACUUAAAAUCACUGGAGAUGAGUAUCUGUAAAACUAUGGAUGUGAUCAUCAUCAUCAUCAUCAUAGUUAAUUAUUGUAGUAGUAAAGUCUAAAAGGAAGCCUGAUAGACAGGUAUGUUAAAAAAAAAAAAAAAAGUUGCUUGUUUGUUUAAAUAGCAAAAUACAUCAGUUAAUAUAAAGUAGAUUGAACAGUGAUUAAGUCAUCCGAAACUCAAAAAGAUAGAAAUUAUCUAGGAAGAAUAUAUUGCUCUGAAUCUGCAUUUGUUUACUUAAAGAAUUUGUUUACUUAUUGGUCCCAGAAUUCAACUUUUGAUAAUUACACACCACUUAAAUAGGUUAGAGUUUUUAAUAUAUUUUUAUUAUACAAGUAAUAUUUGAAUAUAAUUUUGCUUUUAAAAUGCAAACAAUAUAGAGGUAUACAGAGCCAAGAGUAAAAGGCUAUCUUACAAUCCUUCCAAUUAUUUUAUUCUUCCUAGAAGAAAUAAAAAUUAGCAGUUUGCUUACAUCUUUCCAGAUUUUUAAAAAUUUAUGUGAAUAAAUAUAUAUAAUACAAAUACAUAGCUUUGGUUUACUGGGCAUUAAUUUUUUCUUUUUAAUUUUUUUACAUAUAGAAGAUUUUCAUUUUGCUUUUCUUGUUUCAUUUAAUAUAAUAAUGCAUGUGUUUAUUUCCUCUUUUUAACUGUUGUGUUAUAUUCAUAAUAUGAUACUAAAAGCUAUUCACCUACUCUUUUACUGAUUAGAUAGCUAAGGUUGUUUCUUAUUACACAGUAUUACCAAUAAUAAUAGUAAAAAUCCUUUCACAUCUAUUUUUAUUUACAUUUAAAAAUUUUAAAUAUUUAAAUUUCCUCCAUAACUAAACUCCUGCCCCCUUUGUUAGUCUUAAUCUUAUAUAUCUGAAUUCUCUCAUACUUUCUCUUGGUCUCUAUCCCUUUCUUUCAAUAAUUAAACUUAUCAAAGAUACUCCAUAUUAUCAUUUAUUUCAAGAUACUCAUUAAAAAUUACUUUAUUGGUCAAAUCUACUUCUAUAUUUUGAGUAAUCUACCUCUAAUACUUUGAGGUAGAGCUUAGAUAUGACUUACUCUUGGGACACCUAGGUGGCUCAGCGGUUAAGUAUCUGCCUUCACCUCAGGGUCCCACGUCAGGCUCCCUGCAUGGAGCCUGCUUCUCCCUCUGCCGGUAUCUCUGC
rnacentral:lncRNA from 1 species